GUCCGGAAUUAUUGGGCGUAAAGAGCUCGUAGGCGGCCUGUUGCGUCCGCUGUGAAAGCCCGGGGCUUAACCCCGGGUCGGCAGUGGAUACGGGCAGGCUAGAGGUAGGUAGGGGAGAAUGGAAUUCCCGGUGUAGCGGUGAAAUGCGCAGAUAUCGGGAGGAACACCGGUGGCGAAGGCGGUUCUCUGGGCCUUACCUGACGCUGAGGAGCGAAAGCGUGGGGAGCGAACAGG
rnacentral:rRNA from 1 species